AUUGAGCGCUGGCGGCAUGCCUUACACAUGCAAGUCGAACGGUAACGGGCCUUCGGGUGCCGACGAGUGGCGAACGGGUGAGUAAUACAUCGGAACGUGCCCGAUCGUGGGGGAUAACGAGGCGAAAGCUUUGCUAAUACCGCAUACGAUCUACGGAUGAAAGCAGGGGACCGCAAGGCUUUGCGCGGACGGAGCGGCCGAUUGCAGAUUAGGUAGUUGGUGGGAUAAAAGCUUACCAAGCCGACGAUCUGUAGCUCGUCUGAGAGGAUGAUCAGUCACACUGGGACUGAGACACGGCCCAGACUCCUACGGGAGGCAGCAGUGGGGAAUUUUGGACAAUGGGCGCAAGCCUGAUCCAGCCAUGCCGCGUGCAGGAUGAAGGCCUUCGGGUUGUAAACUGCUUUUGUACGGAACGAAAAGCCUUCUUUUAAUACAGGAGGGUCAUGACGGUACCGUAAGAAUAAGCACCGGCUAACUACGUG
rnacentral:rRNA from 1 species